AAGUCGUAACAAGGUAACCGUAGGUGAACCUGCGGUUGGAUCAUUAGUGAAAUGAUGGGCUCUACUUUUAAGUGAGAGUCUUGAAAUUGGGAGGCCUAACUAGUUUACUGGUGGGUAGUACCUAUCACUUUUUGUGAACUGUUGAAUGUCUUUGGCUAGUAUCCUUAGCUUAAUCUCUAACGAGGUCAACCUAAGGUCUAGCCAUAAUCUUGAACCUAAGGUCUCAUCAAAGUCUAAUACUCUAUUAAAAUAGAAUACAACUUUUGACAAUGGAUCUCUUGGCUCUC
rnacentral:misc_RNA from 1 species